GGUGAGUUUGGAAGGACUCUUCUGGAGAUACUGUUAGCUGACAGAAGCAAGUUUUCGCACAGAUUGAUGGAAACGCAGCGAUAAUCAACGCUCUUGUGAGCUGAAGCAUCUUCCGGCUCUUUCUUUUCCUGCCUUCUUUUGGGCACCGCGGUGGCCUUCAGAGUAUCAAAGAGGAGCAAAUCAUGCCCAGGCACGUACUGAGCUCUGCCCUCCCAAACUGGAGGUGCCAGGCUGCAAGAGAGGAGCCAGAGUGCCAGCUGGGCAGCUGCAUUUGGAAAUAUCAGUACCUGAGCAUCAGGUUCAGAUAAGAGGCAAUUUGCAAUUGUCACACAUUUUCUACCUUUUCCAUUUUAUUUUUUUGUGCAUGGUUAAUGUGAGGGGGAGGACAGCAGACCUUAUCUCCUGCGACUAGUGGUGGCAAAACUGAAAAAUUGUUUUCAUUACCAGGUGGAAGGCUUUUCACAUGCAAAUUGUCAAUAUCAUUGUGAUGUGGCAUUUUUAUUAAUCCAAACCAGCUUAUCUGACCAAAAAGAAAGAAAGAUCAUUCUGUUUCAUAUCAAACAUUUUGUUCUGACAAUGGUAAGUUGUAUUUAAUGAAACGUUGCAUGGACGAUCACACUUUUUUGUAAUUUACUGCAGGAGAGGAAGAAAUAGAAUGGACUAAUGGGUGAGGUUGGGUUUCUUUGUUGGUGGUGUUUGUUUGGGAUUUUUUGUUGGGUUGUUUUUUUUUUUCCCUUUGCUCUUUUUUUGGACAGUUCUCCUAAAUACCAGUCAAAUGAUGCCAGCUUAUGAAAGCUUUUUAACUUCUCUCCUUCUACAUCAAAGAAACCGAUCUGCUGUUACAGAUAUGCAUAUUUUUGUCUCUCUAUUGUGUGCACUUCCCCUUCAGACACUGGGAAAAUAAGGUCACGUUCCCUAUUGAGUCCAUCCUUUUCUAUUGAUUUAACUUUCUUAAAAUCCUAAUAGAGCUUGAAAUUAAUACAGUUUAAUUUUCUUCGCCCUUUCUUGUGAACCACCAAAGGUUUUUUGUUGCUGCUACACCACUUUGGUAAUAAAGACUGUGACAGGCUUGGAUUCCUCCUUCUGAUGGCAAAAAUCCCUGAGAAGAGAAAAUCAAUGAGGGUUAUAGCUCCAUCCAAGGAAAAUAAGGGCUUUUCCUUUCAGCCUAUGAGAUGAGGAGCAGGGAUGCUUUUUGAGGCAAUUCAGCAGGGAGCAGACCACAAAGUCUUGGACCCUUCUGAUGUGGCUAAAUUCAGAUUCACCAACAUUAGGCCAUCUCCCAAGGCCUCGGCUAGGGCUGUGUCUCAGUGCUAUGCCUUAAAAGUGAACCACAUUCACAUUCCCAUGUCUAGGACACAAUAAUUUCCCCAGCAUUUGGGAGUCCUUUAAUAAGACUCCUCGUUCCUGCAGGAGGGAGGCGAAUGUACUUUAGUAUCAGACCUGGCUGCUUUGGGAUCUGGCUGGGAAAAGAUUUAUCCAAGGGCAAAUAAAGCCUGCAAGCUGCCUGGUUAUUACCAGUGUUCCUCCAUCAACAUGCAAAGGGGCUGUGGACUCUUUAUGUCGGAGUGGUAUCCCCAGUCCCUUGCCAUGGGCUGUGCAACAAGGUGGGGAGCACUGAACCUACAGCAUCGGCAUCCUUCCCUCCUGCUGAUGAACCUACUGGGGAGGAAAAGACAUCGCACCCCUUGCCAGCUGCUUGCCCAUCACCAGAGGAACCACGGUUUCAUUGGAGAAAGCACCUGGAGGCCGGCUCCUUGACAGUAAUGGGGCAAUGAAACGUCGCGACCCUGGUUAGUCCAGGCUCCCAUCCAUCAUGCCUGUUUAUCCCGUCAGAGCACUGUUUAGCUGUAUAAAAUGGGCUGUAAACUUUGUUCACUUUGGCUGACAGCUAUGAUAAAGGCUAUGUGCAUUUUACAGCCUCACGAAUUGGAAGGAGAAAGGUCCCCCGAGACCUCCCGCUACUCCAGGUCCCAUCAUCUGUCAUGGCACAGGAACGACCCAGUGGUCGUCUUCUCCAGCCCCCCUUCGCUUGGUCAGGUGCCGCUACCUUUCUUGGUGACGGAUUAAAAACAUGUUAAAUAUGUAUUAUUUUUGCACUCUCUGCAUAUCCGUGCCUUUCAUAUCCACAUCUUAAAUUCAUCCUCUCUGUCAGUUGUUUGUAAAUGUCCCUAGGUGUUUAACUCUUAUUCCCUGAAUCCUCUGAGCUAUUGUUGGUGAAUAUGGCUAUUACAUAUUCCUGGUAUUUCUGAAAGGUCAAAAGAAAAUGUAAAAGUGCCAUUCAUUUCUUUUCUUUUCUCCCUUCAAAGCUGCAAAAUGCAAUAUUGUUCUGGUGCAGUUACUCUUGCCGUUACGCAAAGAUUUUUUUUUUCAAUACACCUUUUUGUAUUUACUGCAAGUGUUCAGGAUACAGAAUUAUUUCCUCAAAUUAUUAAAAACUAGAAGAUAUAAUAGCCUUUUAUUCUGUUUCAGAACAUAUUACUCUACCACAACAGUCUAUUUUCGACAGUUUGCUCUCAUCUUCCUGCAACCCAUCUUACAAAUGAGACAUAAAAUUGAGGCUCCGGAUGCUUAUGGACCCAAUCCUGCAGCAUUUAUGCACCUGUUUAAGUUGAAUCAUGUGAGGAUUCGCAGUGGAUUGAACGAGGGGAAUGACUAAUACUUGAGGAACUAUGGCAAUUGCUCCAAAGCAGUUUGCAGCUCUUCAGGAUAAAGAGCAAUGCAUAAAGCUAGGAUGCAUUAUCUCCUCCUCCACCAAUUCUGGCCAGGAUGCUCUAAAAGAUGGACUCAGAGCAAAUGCAGAAUAAAAUGUACUCGCCUGCAGCCAGUACCUGGUACACUCAUUUCUUGCUAUCCCUACCAAAAGACUCCUGGUUGAGCAGAAGUUGGCCGUCAGCAAUGCAACAAAAUGCAACAAAAUCACCGGGUUUUCACCACGGAGUUGCACUUAGUUAUGUUACAAAGCCUCGUUAAUUGAUUACAACAUGAUUCAGCAAGCUGCACUCUUCCUGACUCUUCUCCAUAGCUUGCUGCCUCUCCAUUCAGAACCCGGCUGCGCUCCAAGGGUCUGGUCCCUGCGUUUGAAGCCCAAGCAGCUGAACCUUUCUCUCUGACCUACAUCUUUCAUAGGAAUAAAGCAACAGAUGACACCAAGUACAGGAUUCACAGAGCUCUUUGUGCAAGCCCCUACAGCAGAGCUCCCCAGUGAAGGGCAUCAAGCUUAACUCUCAGCUCACUCUGCAAGGAGGCUUUUUCAUUCCACUUAAUAGCAGCAUUUCCACCGACUUAUGCAGCAGCGGAGUCAAAUCCCAGCAUGUCUUUUAACACCAGCUACUCCUCGGCAGAAGGAGCAUCUCGGCAAAUUGGACAUCCCUGCCUCCUGCGAGGUUUCUUCCAGGCAAACCCACUCCCACCGCACGCAGAACGAUCCCCCACUUUUUUGCUCAGCCUCCGUCGGGCUUUCUGUUCUUGCACAUCGCCACCGUGAUUGGCAACUGAAGCAGAAAGAUCAGACAAAAGAAGGCUGAGGCACCACCUGGGACGGAGCUGAAAGAGAUGCAGGAGCAGAUAUCUCCAUCUGCCUCCUCAAGGCUUUGUGAGGCCGGGAUGCCAGCUGCGGUGUGGUGCUCCCGGAUCCCAGGGGACCGCUGCUCUGCCCCGCUGCAUCUCAGGAAGCCCCGAUGGCAGCGCCAGCACCACCAAGGUCACCUUCCUCAUCUUCAGGCCGGUCACACUGCUGCGACACUCCAGAGUAUGGUGAGCUAUAGGAGUCCAGAAAGGAUAAAGCAGAAGGAAAAGGAGUGUUUUCUUGGGUGUAUGCAGAAGGUAAAUUAUGGGGCUACUUACAGUACCUAAAAUCACUUUCUCUCCAGGGGCCUGAAUAUGCUCUAUUAGAAAAUCUGCAUAUGAGCCUGUAAAUGUGCCAUAUAUGCUAUAGUGUAGUUGUACCAGACUCACCUGUGUUGUAUUUUUUACCUAUAAAUGUGACGGUGAUGUGCUUGUCUCCUCUUUUUACAAGCGUUUCACCAAUCCCCAGGAAAGCAAACCUCCCGCAACGGGCUCCUUCUCCCAUUUAAUCCAGAUAAAGAGGAAAGUCUUCCACGGAAAGCGUGCACACAAAACCCGUGUUAGGCACCCCGGUGUACACGGGCAUGCUCUGCCCCACUGCAAGGCACCUCAGCACCCCUGCUAGGAAUCGCAGGACGAGAUCGACAGCCCUCCCGUGCCCUAAGCAUCGCACUUCUGUGUCGAUGCAAAAAGCCACGCACAAAAGGGAAAAUGGCAGCUUUCCAAGUGGCCCCAGUUAAUAGCUCUGUUUUGCUUAAUGGUGCCUCCCAUUCAGACUAAAGAUGCUGUUUUAAAUAUGUAAGCAAUUAGUAUCUCUCUCUCUCGCAACACAUCUGUGCUCCUUCUAUCUGCUGCAUUACAAAUCUGCUGCGUCCCUCUCCAGCUCGGCGGCGCGUGUAUCGCCAGAUAUCCUGGUCUUCAGCAACUUUCUGGGCUGCAGGAAUGACGGCUGGCUGCGGAGGUGCUCCUGCCUGGCCCUGCCUAAGCCCUCGGCACCGCCAUCCUCUCCUCCCCAGCUGGUGCGGGGCUGACAUAUAAUAACGGUGCAGGGAAAGGGACCUUUUGGUCUGGUUUUGGCCAUUCUUCUGUCCGGCCUGAUGUUUUUUCCUUCUUCCCAGCUGCCACUUUCAGACACUUUUGUCUCCCUUUCUGGAGAGGAGCGGCAGCCUUUUCUCUCCGUACCAAACCGCAGGUUGCCCACGGGAGCGUGGCCGGGAUGCACCCAGUGGUUUCUGCUCAGUGAAUUCUGCCACAAUUAAUUCUGCCUGUUCAAACUCCUGUCCGAUUUUGGGAGUCACGGCAGGGCCGGUGUGCUUACGCAUUUACGAUACACAAAGAAUUAUUGUUACCACAUAGUGAGAGGGGUAGGUGCGAUUCGUUACCGAGCACCGCUGCGUGCACAGCGCUUUGCGACCCCAAAAGCCCCUCUUUAGGAACAGACGUGCCCACCAGCAUCCCUCCAGCCUCGUUUUGGGCAGACCCCCCCCCGGCCCCCAGGGGC